UUUCUUCGGAAAUGGAUUAGCGGCGAACGGGUGAGGAACACGUGAAGAAUCUGCCCUCCACUUUGGGAUAACACCGGGAAACCGGUGCUAAUACCGAAUAUUGAAACAUAAGUGACAUCACUGAGUUUUGAAAGUUUUUCGGUGGAGGAUGACCUCGCGGCCUAUCAGCUUGUUGGUGAGGUAAUGGCUCACCAAGGCGACGACGGGUAGCCGGCCUGAGAGGGCGACCGGCCACACUGGGACUGAGACACGGCCCAGACUCCUACGGGAGGCAGCAGUGGGGAAUAUUGGGCAAUGGAGGAAACUCUGACCCAGCGACGCCGCGUGCGGGAUGAAGGCCUUCGGGUUGUAAACCGCUUUCAGUAGGGAAGAAGCGAAAGUGACGGUACCUACAGAAGAAGCACCGGCUAACUAUGUGCCAGCAGCCGCGGUAAUACAUAGGGUGCAAGCGUUGUCCGGAAUUAUUGGGCGUGAAGAGCUCGUAGGUGGUUUGAUACGUCGGGUGUGAAAUUCAGGGGCUCAACCCCUGACCUGCAUUCGAUACGGUCAAGCUAGAGUUUGGUAGGGGAGACUGGAAUUCCUGGUGUAGCGGUGGAAUGCGCAGAUAUCAGGAGGAACACCAAUGGCGAAGGCAGGUCUCUGGGCCAAUACUGACACUGAGGAGCGAGAGUCUGGGGAGCGAACAGGAUUAGAUACCCUGGUAGUCCAGACCGUAAACGGUGGGCACUAGUUGUGGGAACCUUCCACGGUUUCUGCGACGCAGCU
rnacentral:rRNA from 1 species